rnacentral:misc_RNA from 1 species
GUUUAAUACUUAUCAUCCCAAAAUCUGAUAGUCAUCACAUCAAGGACAUCUAAUCUCCAAUACUAAGUCUAACAAUAUCGAAUACACUAAAAUAAAGAAUAAAAUGGUAUGUGUUUGAAAGUAUAGGACAUCAUGUCAUGACUGAGAGAAUCCAACACGAGCUUGAAUGGAUAGCUCACCCUGCAACUUGAUAUGUGGGAGGCUGGCUAGAGCUGAGGGAAAUCAGAAGUCAUAGGUACACUCGCCUGAAAUCUGAUGUGCUGGAGACUGGCUAGAGUUGAGGGCGAGUCGAAGUCGAUGGUGCACUUGCUCGAGCUUUUCGAUUUCCGAUACAUCUUUUGGUAUCCAUGGUUGUUGUUGUAAUUGACCAGAGUGUGUCUCUUCGCUAGUCGGAGUAGCGUUUGGUGUCGUUGUUGUCUACUGUUUCGCGGAUGCGAAAGAAGGAGAUGAGGGAAGAGGGCGGCGCUUCCCGAUUCUCUCCGGCUGCUGCUUGCUGAUGUUUCUCGCCGGAGAAGAGGAGAGGAGAAGGCGAGGGGAGAGAAAGAGGAAAAAGUGGUUGUGCCGACUUCGUUGAUCGGAGAAGGAAGCAGCGAAAGGGGAGAGGUGGCGGCUGCUGCUGCUGUUGCUGCUCGGAGACGAGAGAUGGCUUGCCUGAGCUGCCGUGUGAGAAGAAAGGGAUGCGUCUGCUCUUCUCCGAGCAG